AGGACGAACGCUGGCGGCGUGCUUAACACAUGCAAGUCGAGCGGUGAUCCUCCUUCGGGAGGUGAUCAGCGGCGAACGGGUGAGUAACACGUAGGCAACCUGCCCCUCACACUGGGAUAACCUCGGGAAACCGGGGCUAAUACCGGAUACGACCUCGAGCGGCAUCUCUUGAGGUGGAAAGCUCCGACGGUGAGGGAUGGGCCCGCGGCCUAUCAGCUUGUUGGUGGGGUAAUGGCCUACCAAGGCGACGACGGGUA
rnacentral:rRNA from 1 species